rnacentral:tRNA from 1 species
UAUCAAUUAGAAUCAGUCUAGGUUAUAGACGGCAAUAACAAAAAUAGAGUGACAAAGAUAAAAACAAUUCAUCAU